UUUAAUUCGAAGCAACGCGAAGAACCUUACCAGGUCUUGACAUCCCGAUGCUAUUUCUAGAGAUAGAAAGUUACUUCGGUACAUCGGUGACAGGUGGUGCAUGGUUGUCGUCAGCUCGUGUCGUGAGAUGUUGGGUUAAGUCCCGCAACGAGCGCAACCCCUAUUGUUAGUUGCCAUCAUUCAGUUGGGCACUCCAGCGAGACUGCCGGUAAUAAACCGGAGGAAGGUGGGAUGACGUCAAAUCAUCAUGCCCCUUAUGACCUGGGCUACACACGUGCUACAAUGGUUGGUAUAACGAGUUGCGAGUCGGUGACGGCGAGCUAAUCUCUUAAAGCCAAUCUCAGUUCGGAUUGUAGGCUGCAACUCGCCUACAUGAAGUCGGAAUCGCUAGUAAUCGCGGAUCAGCACGCCGCGGUGAAUACGUUCCCGGGCCUU
rnacentral:rRNA from 1 species